GUCUACGGCCAAGCCACUGUGAACAAGCCCGAUCCUGUCUGAUCCCAGAAGCUAAGCAGGGUCGGGCCUGGUUAGUACUUGGAUGGGAGACCACGUAGAAAGACCAGGUGCUGGAGAUG
rnacentral:rRNA from 1 species